GAUGAAUGCUGGCGGCGUGCCCAACACAUGCAAGUCGAGCGGCAGCGCGGUCUUCGGACUGGCGGCGAGCGGCGGACGGCUGAGUAACGCGUGGGAACAUACCCCAAAGUGAGGGAUAACCGCCCGAAAGGGUGGCUAAUACCGCAUAUGAUCUUCGGAUUAAAGGAUUUAUCCGCUUUGGGAAUGGCCUGCGUACGAUUAGAUAGUUGGUGAGGUAAUGGCUUACCAAGUCUACGAUCGUUAACUGGUCUGAGAGGAUGAUCAGUCAGACUGGAACUGAGACACGGUCCAGACUCCUACGGGAGGCAGCAGUGAGGAAUCUUCCACAAUGGGCGAAAGCCUGAUGGAGCAACGCCGCGUGCAGGAUGAAGGCCUUCGGGUCGUAAACUGCUUUUAUAAGUGAAGAAUAUGACGGUAACUUAUGAAUAAGCACCGGCUAACUACGUGCCAGCCGCCGCGGUA
rnacentral:rRNA from 1 species